AGAGGCUUUAAGCACUAAGGACUGCUAAUCCCUACUCCCAUGGUUAA
rnacentral:tRNA from 1 species